rnacentral:rRNA from 1 species
UACGGAGGGUGCAAACGUUGCUCGGAAUCAUUGGGCGUAAAGCGCACGUAGGCGGUUCGUUAUGUCGGAUGUGAAAGCCUCGGGCUUAACCCGAGAAGUGCAUCCGAAACUGGCGGGCUUGAGUACGGAAGAGGGUCUCGGAAUUCCCGGUGUAGAGGUGAAAUUCGUAGAUAUCGGGAGGAACACCAGUGGGGAAGGCGGAGACCUGGGCCGAUACUGACGCUGAGGUGCGAAAGCGUGGGGAGCAAACAGG